rnacentral:rRNA from 1 species
AAACCGUUUAGGGGUAAACCUGAGAAACCCGAAAGGUCGAAGGGAGAAAUUCAUUCGCGUUUCGCGGUCGGCGUGAGACGGUCGUGUGACGGAAAACGUUCGCGUUUUCCGCACCUUUCGUUUUUCGAUCCGAUAGCGAACGCGUGCACUUUUCUCCUGGUAGGACGUCGCGAUCCGUUGGGUGUCGGUCUACGGCUCGCGGUGGAGACCGGAUGUACGGCUUGCCGUCACGUCCGGACCCGCGUGUCCCGGCUGACUCGCUCGACGGUAUACGAAAGGUUUAAGGCCGCUCUUAGAGCGUUCGGCUCGUCGCAAGCGCGUCAGAUGUGUGUCGGUGAUCGGACCUAGUGCCGGUUCUGACCUCUGGCGACUGUUGGCGGCGAAGUUCUCGAACAGACCUUCGACCGAUCUGCGACGCUAUAGCUUUGGGUACUUUCAGGACCCGUCUUGAAACACGGACCAAGGAGUCUAGCAUGUGCGCGAGUCAUUGGGAAUCAUUAAACCUAAAGGCGCAAUGAAAGUAAAGGUCCGCCUUGCGCGGACUGAGGGAAGACGAGCGGUUUACCCUUAAAAGUGGCCGCUCCGCAUUCCCGGGGCGUCUCAUUCUCAUCGCGAGAAGAGGCGCACCAAGAGCGUACACGCUGGGACCCGAAAGAUGGUGAACUAUGCCUGGUCAGGACGAAGUCAGGGGAAACCCUGAUGGAGGUCCGUAGCGAUUCUGACGUGCAAAUCGAUCGUCGGAACUGG